rnacentral:rRNA from 1 species
UACGGAGGAGGCAAGCGUUAUCCGGAAUUAUUGGGCGUAAAGAGCUCGUAGGCGGUCUGUCGCGUCGGCUGUGAAAUCCCGAGGCUCAACCUCGGGUCUGCAGUCGAUACGGGCAAACUAGAGUAUUGCAGGGGAGACUGGAAUUCCUGGUGUAGCGGUGAAAUGCGCAGAUAUCAGGAGGAACACCGGUGGCGAAGGCGGGUCUCUGGGCAAUAACUGACGCUGAGGAGCGAAAGCGUGGGGAGCGAACAGG